rnacentral:rRNA from 1 species
CGGAGAAUUGCUAGCUUGCUAAUAAUUCUCUAGUGGCGCACGGGUGAGUAACACGUGAGUACCUGCCCCCGAGAGCAGGAUAGCCCUGGGAAACUGGGAUUAAUACCGCAUAGUGAAAUAAAGCAGCAAUGCGCUUGGGGAUGGGCUCGCGGCCUAUUAGUUAGUUGGUGAGGUAACGGCUCACCAAGGCGAUGACGGGUAGCCGGUCUGAGAGGAUGUCCGGCCACACUGGAACUGAGACACGGUCCAGACACCUACGGGUGGCAGCAGUCGAGAAUCAUUCACAAUGGGGGAAACCCUGAUGGUGCGACGCCGCGUGGGGGAUAAG